CAGCCGCCACGGUAAUACGGAGGGGGCUAGCGUUGUUCGGAAUUACUGGGCGUAAAGCGCACGUAGGCGGCUUGGUAAGUUAGAGGUGAAAGCCCAGGGCUCAACCCUGGUAUUGCCUUUAAGACUGCCGAGCUAGCAGGUGAGAGAGGUAAGUGGAAUUCCGAGUGUAGAGGUGAAAUUCGUAGAUAUUCGGAAGAACACCAGUGGCGAAGGCGGCUUACUGGCUCAUACUGGACGCUGAGGUGCGAAAGCGUGGGGAGCAAACAGGAUUAGAUACCCCGGUAGUCCCUGUCUCUUAUAC
rnacentral:rRNA from 1 species